UGGCUCCUGUGAAAAGUCUGUUCAACAAAUAUAUCUUAUGAGAUCCGACAACUUUCAGAACAGAAAAAAGGAAAUCAAACAAAAAAUGAUUAAUCUAAAAUGAUCGGUAUAAUGUACAUAAUUCACAUAUUUGACAAUAAAAUCUCAUCACAAAAAAAAAACAAAAUUGUAAAAACUGAAACACUAUACAGGAAGUUGAAUUAUUUUAUUUUACCAUUUUUUUAUAUUUUUCUACCCCAUUGUCACUAUAUUGUCAUUGAACGUUGCAUAGUAUUGUUAUGUAUAUUACG